AGCCUGAUGCAGCCAUGCCGCGUGAUGUGAUGACGGCCCUUACGGGUUGUAAAGAUCUUUCAACAGUGAAGAUAAUGACGGUAACUGUAGAACAAGCUCCGGCUAACUCCGUGCCAGCAGCCGCGGUAAUACGGAGGGAGCUAGCGUUGUUCGGAAUUACUGGGCGUAAAGCGCGCGUAGGCGGAUUAUUAAGUCAGAGGUGAAAUCCCGGGGCUCAACCCCGGAACUGCCUUUGAUACUGGUAGUCUAGAGGUCGAGAGAGGUGAGUGGAAUUCCGAGUGUAGAGGUGAAAUUCGUAGAUAUUCGGAGGAACACCAGUGGCGAAGGCGGCUCACUGGCUCGAUACUGACGCUGAGGUGCGAAAGUGUGGGUAGCAAACAGGAUUAGAUACCCUGGUAGUCCACACCGUAAACGAUGAAUGCUAGUCGUCAGGGGACUUGUCCUUUGGUGACGCAGCUAACGCAUUAAGCAUUCCGCCUGGGGAGUACGGUCGCAAGAUUAAAACUCAAGAAAUUUGACGGG
rnacentral:rRNA from 1 species